GAGAGGUUGUGCGUGCAGUCAAAGCCGUAAACGCAACCUUAGCCUGAAAAAAGAAAUAAAUGGACUAAAGCACCAGGGCUGGCUCUGACAGGAAGUGGGGACUCGGGACUUCAAAUACAAACAUUAUGAAAAACAAGCAACAUCUGCAAACACACCCUUCAAGUUCCAGAGGGAAAAAACACAUCAGGCUGCUGUGUCUUUAUCCUGGGGAAUCUAAACUAGAAUUGAGCACGUUGCAGGCAAUCAAUACUGCUGUGCAAAUUAGCCUUUAUGACUGAACCACUGUUUGCUCAGAGGAAGAAGAAAAAAUCACUGCUGUGAGUACAGUGCUCCUGAUGAGCCGUGCCCAGAGUGUAGUGCUGCUUGGGCAGUCUGGGGCUCUGCUCGCAGGAGUCCCACAGAGCUGCUCAGGGCUGGGAAGGACACACUUCUGAGCUUGUUGCACCAAGCCUGCUCCCUUCCUCUCUAGCAACAGACGAG
ensembl:lncRNA